rnacentral:rRNA from 1 species
UACGAAGGGGGCUAGCGUUGUUCGGAAUCACUGGGCGUAAAGGGCGCGUAGGCGGCUGUUCAAGUCGGGGGUGAAAUCCCGUGGCUCAACCACGGAAUGGCCUUCGAUACUGGACGGCUCGAGACCGGAAGAGGUGAGUGGAACUGCGAGUGUAGAGGUGAAAUUCGUAGAUAUUCGCAAGAACACCAGUGGCGAAGGCGGCUUACUGGUCCGGUUCUGACGCUGAGGCGCGAAAGCGUGGGGAGCAAACAGG